rnacentral:rRNA from 1 species
UGGGGAAUAUUGGACAAUGGGCGAAAGCCUGAUCCAGCCAUGCCGCGUGUGUGAAGAAGGUCUUCGGAUUGUAAAGCACUUUAAGUUGGGAGGAAGGGCAGUAAGCGAAUACCUUGCUGUUUUGACGUUACCGACAGAAUAAGCACCGGCUAACUCUGUGCCAGCAGCCGCGGUAAUACAGAGGGUGCAAGCGUUAAUCGGAAUUACUGGGCGUAAAGCGCGCGUAGGUGGUUCGUUAAGUUGAAUGUGAAAGCCCCGGGCUCAACCUGGGAACUGCAUCCAAAGCUGGCGAGCUAGAGUAGGGCAGAGGGUGGUGGAAUUUCCUGUGUAGCGGUGAAAUGCGUAGAUAUAGGAAGGAACACCAGUGGCGAAGGCGACCACCUGGGCUCAUACUGACACUGAGGUGCGAAAGCGUGGGGAGCAAACAGG